rnacentral:rRNA from 1 species
AGAGCGAACGCUGGCGGCAGGCUUAACACAUGCAAGUCGAACGGAUCCUUCGGGAUUAGUGGCGGACGGGUGAGUAACACGUGGGAACGUGCCUUUUGGUUCGGAACAACACAGGGAAACUUGUGCUAAUACCGAAUGUGCCCUUCGGGGGAAAGAUUUAUCGCCAUUAGAGCGGCCCGCGUCUGAUUAGCUAGUUGGUGAGGUAAAGGCUCACCAAGGCUACGAUCAGUAGCUGGUCUGAGAGGAUGAUCAGCCACAUUGGGACUGAGACACGGCCCAAACUCCUACGGGAGGCAGCAGUGGGGAAUCUUGCGCAAUGGGGGAAACCCUGACGCAGCCAUGCCGCGUGAAUGAUGAAGGUCUUAGGAUUGUAAAAUUCUUUCAGCGGGGACGAUAAUGACGGUACCGCAGAAGAAGCUCCGGCUAACUCGCGCCAGCAGCCGC